CCAUCACAAAAGUUUAAUCUAAACUUGGUCUCAUAGUCUUCACAAAUGCUCACUGAAGAAAAUUCCCAGGAUGAUUCAGGGGUCUCUUAAAACUUCUGCUCCAAGACAUUGAUAAAGAACCUUAGUAACUUGACUAUCAACCCUAGUACUGAAUUCCCUUCCUCUCUACCAGAAGGUUCACCCCAAUGGUAUACAGGAGCAACAAUCCUCAGGGAAGCCAGAUGACUUGCUUUACAGGGGGAGGGGAGUAAGAAUUUUGCUGUAUGUGUAGAAAGAAAGAAUGGCAAGAAUAAGAUACAUGUUACUCAGCAGAGUUCCUAGGCUUGAAAGAGAACUAAGAAAUAUUAGUCAUAAGGGAGUUCAGAAUGAACCAAGAAGUGGGUGAUUCAGAUGGUGUAGCAGUGUCUGCAUGUAUAACAGUUGGGAUCCUUCUGAGAAUGCUAGAAUAGAAUUAUGACACUGAGCCACUUCAGCCA
rnacentral:lncRNA from 1 species